rnacentral:pre_miRNA from 10 species
UGGCCUCGUUCAAGUAAUCCAGGAUAGGCUGUGCAGGUCCCAAUGGCCUAUCUUGGUUACUUGCACGGGGAC